rnacentral:rRNA from 1 species
GUCGAACGGCAGCACGGGCUUCGGCCUGGUGGCGAGUGGCGAACGGGUGAGUAAUGCGUCGGAACGUGCCGAGUAAUGGGGGAUAACGCAUCGAAAGGUGUGCUAAUACCGCAUACGCUCUGAGGAGGAAAGCGGGGGACCUUCGGGCCUCGCGUUAUUCGAGCGGCCGACGUCUGAUUAGCUAGUUGGUGGGUAAAGGCUCACCAAGGCGACGAUCAGUAGCGGGUCUGAGAGGAUGAUCCGCCACACUGGGACUGAGACACGGCCCAGACUCCUACGGGAGGCAGCAGUGGGGAAUUUUGGACAAUGGGCGAAAGCCUGAUCCAGCCAUGCCGCGUGAGUGAAGAAGGCCUUCGGGUUGUAAAGCUCUUUUGUCCGGGAGGAAAUCCCGCAACCUAAUACGUUGCGGGGAUGACAGUACUGGAAGAAUAAGCACCGGCUAACUACGUGCCAGCAGCCGCGGUAAUACGUAGGGUGCAAGCGUUAAUCGGAAUUACUGGGCGUAAAGCGUGCGCAGGCGGUUUGAUAAGUCAGAUGUGAAAUCCCCGGGCUUAACCUGGGAACUGCGUUUGAAACUGUCAGGCUAGAGUACGUCAGAGGGGGGUGGAAUUCCACGUGUAGCAGUGAAAUGCGUAGAGAUGUGGAGGAACACCGAUGGCGA